CGCGCAGGCGGCCAUUUAAGUUGGAUGUGAAAGCCUACGGCUCAACCGUAGAACUACAUCCAAAACUAUUUGGCUAGAGUGUGGGAGAGGAAGAUGGAAUUAGUUGUGUAGGGGUAAAAUCCGUAGAGAUAACUAGGAAUACCAAAAGCGAAGGCAAUCUUCUGGAACACUACUGACGCUGAGGCGCGAAAGCGUGGGGAGCAAACAGGAUUAGAUACCCUGGUAGUCC
rnacentral:rRNA from 1 species